CUCUCCAGCCUACAAGUCGGGAGUCGGCGACCGCUUAGUGACGAGCGAUGAUUUUAAAGAGCAGAAUAAAAGGUUUUCCCGUGCCUGCCCCACAGCCCCUCCAGCUCGAAUAAUGGAGAACUGUCAAUGCACUCCGCGAGCGGUGGCCCAUUGUACGCAGCUGAUGGCGAGGAGGCGACUGGGGGUAGCAGGGGCUCCUUGCCCUCGUCCCUAUGCCCAAAUAAACGCGCAAACGCGCUCCCGUCUUCUGGUCAGUUAAAAGGUGAAACGAACACGAUUAAAAUAGACCAAAAGAAAAGAAAGAAAAGAAAACCUUUCUAUGUACAGAUUCUAAAUCGUACUCCCCAUACAGUCAGAGGCAGGGAGUCGAGGGCAGAGGCAGCAGGCGGAGAGAGGGAGAUAGGGCGAGGGAAGGAGAACGCGGAGAGAGACGAAGGGAGUGGGAGACCAGCGACAGCGAGCGCCAGGGCACCGCAGGCACACUGGAUGCCCAGUCCGCCGGCCCAGCCGCCCUCGGACCCUGGACCGUGCGUCGUGGGCACCAGAAACGAGACUCGGCCAAAUCCUGCCUCACCAGCAGGUAGAUGAAACUCAAGAGAAAAGGUGUGGAUAAAUGAAACUAGCCCAUGAUGAACCUGUUUUCUCCGUGACCACAAUAUUAACCAGGAUGAAUGGCGGUGGCAGUGGGCCUGCAUCACAGGUUGCAGCAGAUGUUCUCAAUAUUUCUAUUAAAAUUUCCUUAUUUCCAUAUGCAAGAGGAGCCCCAGAGCUGCAUCCUUAUGGUAGCUACCAUGCCGUGAUGUAAGCUGCCAUUCACUGGGGAGCUUUGGCAAUAGAAUUGGCUAGAUCAGGAAGCCUAUGUCAACUAUGGAACAACAACUUGCAGCUCAUCUCUAUUGAUGAUGGAAUCUCGCUAUGUCACCAGGCUGGAGUGCAGUGGCGCAACCUCGGCUCAGCGCAACAUCCGCCUCCCGGGUUCAAGUGAUUCUCCUACCUCAGCCUCCUGAGUAGCUGGGAUUACAGGAAUCUAAUGACCAUUGAACUGUGGCCAUGACUUCAAUUACAAGUAUUUUCUUCACUAAUGUCAGACUGUGGGCCUUUGUAUAUACACUUUUAACAAACUUUUUGGAAGUGCAAUACAUAUCGCAACAACUUCUCAAUGCUGAAUCAUAGUAUUGGAAGACAUUUUAAGCAACAAUUAAACUCAACUUAUUUACUACCAAUAAUGUACAUAAGUCAGCUGAAGUGAGGAUAACAUGAAUAGCACAAAUACAUUAUGAUUGCUGCCUGGCCAACAGUAAUUAUAAGAAACUGUCAGUUUUGAGAUGUGUCUUGAUUUCAGAGAUGUUAAAAAAGUUUGUAAGUUACCAUUGAUAAAAUAUGAGUUUGCUUCCACAAAUAUUCUUUCUUCUGUCCUUCUGGAACUCAAGAGUAAACAUAUAUUAGAUUUUCUCACCAUUUCAUGCAUGCUGGUUCCUAGGCUACUCUCUGAGUCAUUUUUUUUUU
rnacentral:lncRNA from 1 species